UGCGGAAGUGGCGGAACUGGCAGACGCGCUACCUUGAGGUGGUAGUGAAGGAAACUUCUUGGGGGUUCGAGUCCCCCCUUUCGCAU
rnacentral:tRNA from 1 species